GGGGGUACAUAUACAUGCAAGUCGAGCGAAUGGAUUAAGAAGCUUGCUCUUAUGAAGUUAGCGGCGGACGGGUGAGUAACACGUGGGUAACCUGCCCAUAAGACUGGGAUAACUCCGGGAAACCGGGGCUAAUACCGGAUAACAUUUUGAACCGCAUGGUUCGAAAUUGAAAGGCGGCUUCGGCUGUCACUUAUGGAUGGACCCGCGUCGCAUUAGCUAGUUGGUGAGGUAACGGCUCACCAAGGCAACGAUGCGUAGCCGACCUGAGAGGGUGAUCGGCCACACUGGGACUGAGACACGGCCCAGACUCCUACGGGAGGCAGCAGUAGGGAAUCUUCCGCAAUGGACGAAAGUCUGACGGAGCAACGCCGCGUGAGUGAUGAAGGCUUUCGGGUCGUAAAACUCUGUUGUUAGGGAAGAACAAGUGCUAGUUGAAUAAGCUGGCACCUUGACGGUACCUAACCAGAAAGCCACGGCUAACUACGUGCCAGCAGCCGCGGUAAUACGUAGGUGGCAAGCGUUAUCCGGAAUUAUUGGGCGUAAAGCGCGCGCAGGUGGUUUCUUAAGUCUGAUGUGAAAGCCCACGGCUCAACCGUGGAGGGUCAUUGGAAACUGGGAGACUUGAGUGCAGAAGAGGAAAGUGGAAUUCCAUGUGUAGCGGUGAAAUGCGUAGAGAUAUGGAGGAACACCAGUGGCGAAGGCGACUUUCUGGUCUGUAACUGACACUGAGGCGC
rnacentral:rRNA from 1 species